GACGAACGCUGGCGGCGUGCUUAACACAUGCAAGUCGAGCGGUAAGGCCCUUUCGGGGGUACACGAGCGGCGAACGGGUGAGUAACACGUGGGUGACCUGCCCUCAGCUCUGGGGAUAAGCCUGGGAAACCGGGUCUAAUACCGGAUAUGACUCCAUGACGCAUGUUGUGGGGUGGAAAGCCUUGUGCGGCUGAGGAUGGGCCCGCGGCCUAUCAGCUUGUGGUGGGGNGAUGGCCUACCAAGGCGACGACGGGUAGCCGGCCUGAGAGGGCGACCGGCCACACUGGGACUGAGACACGGCCCAGACUCCUACGGGAGGCAGCAGUGGGGAAUCUUGCGCAAUGGGCGAAAGCCUGACGCAGCGACGCCGCGUGAGGGAUGACGGCCU
rnacentral:rRNA from 1 species